GAUGAACGCUAGCGGCAGGCUUAACACAUGCAAGUCGAGGGGCAGCGGGAUGUAGCAAUACAUUGCCGGCGACCGGCGCAAGGGUGCGUAACGCGUGAGCAACAUGCCCGUCACAGGAGGAUAAACCAUGGAAACGUGGCCUAAUACUCCAUAGUAUAUCAGGAAGGCAUCUUGAGGUAAUUAAAUCUUCGGAGGUAUAAGAUGGGCAUGCGUAGCAUUAGCUAGAUGGUGCGGUAACGGCGUACCAUGGCGACGAUGCUUAGGGGUUCUGAGAGGAAGGUCCCCCANACUGGUACUGAGAUACGGACCAGACUCCUACAGGAGGCAGCAGUGAGGAAUAUUGGUCAAUGGUCGGAAGACUGAACCAGCCAUGCCGCGUGCAGGAAGAAUGUCUUAUGGAUUGUAAACUGCUUUG
rnacentral:rRNA from 1 species